AGAUUUUCCUCCAUUGAUGCAUCAAAGGAAGACUGUGGCCCUAAGUUCAAAAACUCAUGGUUUAAUCAUGAUAAUAUCGUUACUUGUUCCCGUGAUGGUAGUGCAAUCAUAUGGAUCCCGAGAUCACGUAGAUCACAUGGAAAGGGUGGACGUUGGCAGAAAGCGUAUCAUUUGAAAGUUCCACCACCGCCAAUGCCACCUCAACCUCCUCGAGGCGGUCCACGUCAAAGAAUU
rnacentral:misc_RNA from 1 species